UACAGAGGUCUCAAGCGUUGUUCGGAUUCAUUGGGCGUAAAGGGUGCGUAGGCGGCGCGGUAAGUCGGGUGUGAAUCUCGGAGCUUAACUCCGAAACUGCAUUCGAUACUGCCGUGCUUGAGGACUGGAGAGGAGACUGGAUUUUACGGUGUAGCGGUGAAAAUGCGUAGAUAUCGUAAAAGGAAAGACCAGUGGCGGAAAGGGCGGGUCUCUGGGACAGUUUCCCUGACGCUUUGAGGGCAAACGAAAGGGCCCAGGGAGCAAACGGGAA
rnacentral:rRNA from 1 species